AAAGUCGUAACAAGGUAACCGUAGGUGAACCUGCGGUUGGAUCAUUAAAAAAGUGGGACUUUGAGUCCCUUGGGCUUUCGAGCCCAAUACACCUUGUGCAAUUUGGUAGGACAUGAACUCUGUUCUAGGCCUGCCCAAGUAUAAACAAACACUUUAAAAAGUCUGAAUGAGAAACCCAAUGAGAAACAACUUUUGACAACGGAUCUCUUGGCUCUC
rnacentral:misc_RNA from 1 species